UAAGCAUAUCAAUAAGCGGAGGAAAAGAAACUAACAAGGAUUCCCCUAGUAACUGCGAGUGAAGAGGGAAAAGCUCAAAUUUAAAAUCUGGCAGCUUUGGCUGUCCGAGUUGUAAUCUGGAGAAGUGUUUUCAGUGCAGGACCGUGUACAAGUCUCUUGGAAUGGAGCAUCAUAGAGGGUGAGAAUCCCGUCUUUGACACGGACUACCUGUGCUUUGUGAUACACUCUCAAAGAGUCGAGUUGUUUGGGAAUGCAGCUCAAAAUGGGUGGUAAAUUCCAUCUAAAGCUAAAUAUUGGCGAGAGACCGAUAGCGAACAAGUACCGUGAGGGAAAGAUGAAAAGCACUUUGGAAAGAGAGUUAAACAGUACGUGAAAUUGUUGAAAGGGAAACGCUUGAAGUCAGUCGCGUUUGUUAGAACUCAGCUUGGCUUUUGCUUAGUGUACUUUCUAAUGAACGGGCCAACAUCGAUUUCAGUCAGUGGAUAAGGGUAAGGGGAAUGUGGCACCUUCGGGUGUGUUAUAGCCUCUUACCGUAUACAUUUACUGGGAUCGAGGACUGCAGCACUUGUGCUUAGGAUGUUGGCAUAAUGGCUUUAAUCGACCCGUCUUGAAACACGGACCAAGGAGUCUAACAUGCCCGCGAGUGUUAGGGUGGUAAACCCUUGCGCGUAAUGAAAGUGAAAGUUGGGACCUCUGUCAUGGGGGGCACCGACGCCCGGUCCAGAACUUCUGUGACGGUACUGCGGUAGAGCGUGUAUGUUGGGACCCGAAAGAUGGUGAACUAUGCCUGAAUAGGGUGAAGCCAGAGGAAACUCUGGUGGAGGCUCGUAGCGAUUCUGACGUGCAAAUCGAUCGUCAAAUUUGGGUAUAGGGGCGAAAGACUAAUCGAC
rnacentral:rRNA from 1 species